rnacentral:rRNA from 1 species
AUUGAACGCUGGCGGCAUGCCUUACACAUGCAAGUCGAACGGCAGCACGGGUGCUUGCACCUGGUGGCGAGUGGCGAACGGGUGAGUAAUACAUCGGAACAUAUCCUGUAGUGGGGGAUAGCCCGGCGAAAGCCGGAUUAAUACCGCAUACGAUCUACGGAUGAAAGCGGGGGACCUUCGGGCCUCGCGCUAUAGGGUUGGCCGAUAGCUGAUUAGCUAGUUGGUGGGGUAAAGGCCUACCAAGGCGACGAUCAGUAGCUGGUCUGAGAGGACGACCAGCCACACUGGGACUGAGACACGGCCCAGACUCCUACGGGAGGCAGCAGUGGGGAAUUUUGGACAAAGGGCGAAAGCCUGAUCCAGCAAUGCCGCGUGUGUGAAGAAGGCCUUCGGGUUGUAAAGCACUUUUGUCCGGAAAGAAAUCCUUGGCUCUAAUACAGUCGGGGGAUGACGGUACCGGAAGAAUAAGCACCGGCUAACUACGUG